UCACCAUUCUUUUCUCUACAGGUUGAUCGGAGCCAAAUCACCAAAACACGAACCUCGCUGGAGAGCCGCCACACCUGAGAGCACCGCCACCAGUAAGCUUCGGUUUUUCGUAAUUUUUUAGCCCCCCGAGGGCCCUAGGGUUGUUUUAUCGCAGGAACCGAUGCAAGUGUGGCCGAAUUCGGCUGAAAAUGGCCAAAAACGGCCAACCCGAGGCGAAUCGCCGCCGCUUGCGCCAGAGCACGGCGGAGCCGCCGUGCCGGAAUUGUGAUAUUGGCCAAAAGGGGCCCUGGGUCUAAUCUGGGAUUUUUUGGGACACGUGCAGGUACCAGUAGUGCGUUUCAGUUCCCCGAGAAAAAUUCAGGAAAAAUUAGGGACAACCUGUACGCGCACUGUAGAGCCGUAUUCGGACCCCGAAACAAGUAAGAAUUUCUCACCCUAUUUCCUAUCAUGGUAUUAAAGUUCAAUAAAUGAUAAAAUGGUAUUUCAUAAA
rnacentral:lncRNA from 1 species